rnacentral:rRNA from 1 species
ACCCGCUGAACUUAAGCAUAUCAAUAAGGGGAGGAAAAGAAACCAACAGGGAUUGCCCUAGUAACGGCGAGUGAAGCGGCAUCAGCUCAAAUUUGAAAUCUGGCUCUUUCAGAGUCCGAGUUGUAAUUUGUAGAGGCAUAUUCGGGCAGCGGUUUAGUCUAUGUCCUUUGGGACAGGGCGUCAUAGAGGGUGAGAAUCCCGUAUGACUUUCCUCGCAGCUUAUGUGAAUGGCCUUCUAAGAGUCGAGUUGUUUGGGAAUGCAGCUCUAAUUGGGUGGUAAAUUCCAUCUAAAGCUAAAUACUGGCAAGAGACCGAUAGCGCACAAGUAGAGUGAUCGAAAGGUGAAAAGCACUCCGGAAGGAGAGUUAAACAGCACGUGAAAUUGUUGAAAGGGAAGCACUUGAGAGCAGUACUGGGACUUUAUUCAUCAACCUUCAUUUUUGUAGGUGCACUGGGUUUAGUUCUGGCCAGCAUCAUUUUUGGCAGUGGUAUAAUGUCCUAGGGAAUGUGGCUCUCUUCGGAGAGUGUUAUAGACCUAAGUCCAUACCAUUAGCUGGGAAUGAGGUUCGCGCUUCGGCUAGGAUGCUGGCAUAAUGAUCUU